rnacentral:tRNA from 1 species
GGGACCCGCGGUGUAGGGGUGAGCGUGGUUGCCACUCACUCAGUCGGCCUGGGUUCCAAUCCCAGACGGUCCCG